AUGCUUUAUCUUUGCCCGGUUUCGCUAGUAGACAGACGGACGAUUGUCACUAGGUGUCGGAUAUGUAAAAAUCGGUUUUAUAAAUUCAGUAGACGGCAAUCAAAAUGAAAAUAACAGAAAGCUAGUGCGGAGUAGAUGGAAAUUAACAAAAGUGAUCGUGAACUAAAAGCUGUGCAACAAUGAAAUUAUUAAAUCAAUGGAAGAAAGAUCGCCCCUUAGGGCACUGAUAAAUCAUGUUAAAAAUGUAGAUGUACAUAUGUAUAUAUGUAUGUAUGUGUAUAUGUAUACCAUUCUGAUAAACAAGUGUUGAGCAAGACAUUCAAAUCGAUUUUAUUGGCACUAAUUGUCGAUUUCCAAAGGCAGAGUUUGAAACUCUUCUUAAUUAAGCCGCCAAACAAAUAACGAAUCACUGAACAAAGAAUAAAAUGAAAAAAGAUAUCGCACACCAAUGUGUUUUGAUCAAUGCUCACCAACUCACCACAAGUUGUCAGCAAUCAAAUUACUUUUGUGCUUUAGUCAACUUAGAGUAAAAUAAAACUUGAAAUUUUCCACUCACCACAAGUAAAACCGGCGUAAGAAGCAUUUAGCUCGACGAUGGCAGAAUCCGGCAUAAAUAUGGAUUUCGAUCUUGAAUAUUUUCCCAUCGAAGACUUAGAUUUACUAUCAACUGAAGUUCAAGUUGCUGGGAGGACGGAUAAUGUAGAAUUCUAUGAGCUGAAGUCCGCGACCCGUUCAGUGAGAUUCGAUGACAUGAGCUCAAGUGCUGAAAUCGUACACGCAGAAUGCCUAUCAUUGCAUCCGCCUCGUGGCGCGUUGCAUAGUUCUGCUAUAACCACAAAAAGCCUUUGGCUGCCUCAGGCUCGGUAGUCCAUUUUCACGAACAGCGACGAUGUUCUCGGCCGAUACGUUUUCAUUAACGGGCAAUCAUUUAUUUGAUUAUAAGGUUUUAUCAUUUUGGACGUGCUACUCCUUAAUUAAUUGACAGAUAUCACUACGAGUUUUGUACGCAUCAUAAAAGAAGGACUGACUGAUAUUUAUGCAUA